AAGACAUAGAAACAGCAUUUGGCACAGAGAGAAAAGCCUGGUAAAAUGCAUGGAUGUAGGAAAGCUCAGCCAUCCCCUCACAGUGCAGAUGUGAGUGAGCCUUGUUACAGGCAAGAUGCUGACUGUCAUCGGGCCUCAGAGCUCAGCUGGGAACGCUGGCUUUGUGGCUGGAGGGCAGCUGACGAGAAUGGAAGCCUGAGUGACUGUGGCCUGGGAAGACCCAAGUUUUCACUGGUAACAAAGAGGAAGUUCAAUAGCAGCCUCUCAACUCGUGAUGUUAAAGCUCUGCAGAAGGAAAUGUCUGCAGUGCCCGGGUGUGGUCUGAACGUUGCAGAGGAGGCCUGGCAGCGUUGUUUAUUAUGGACACCACACGUCUGUGAAUACCAGGAACUCAUCAGCUUUUACCCUGCCAUUAACUCACGUUGUGUGUGUAGACAACGAAAGCCCACUAAGAUUUUUAUGGAAGUAUGGGUUUUUCUCCAGUCUAUAGAAUGGCUUAUUUGAAUCCAAGUUCAGUUCUUUACUUUUUCUGUUACACAUAUAACUCUAUAUGAACUCUCGCUGAGGAGGAACGUACCUACAGUGACAACUGCUGAUCUGAAGAAGUGUACAGCUCAAUGCAUUUUUACAUACGUCAGCACCCAUCUAAACACCAGCCCAUCCACACGGAGAAUUUUUUUCAGCAUCCCAAAAGAUGAUGUCAUCCUCCUUACAGUCAACCCCUCCCCAAAAUGUAACCACUCUUCUAAGUUCUAUCAAAAUGGAUUAAUUUUACCUGUUUUGAACUUCAUAUACAUGGAAUAGUGCAAUUCCAGUCCUCACAUUUGCAUUUGUGAGAUUCUUUUACGUUGUUAAAUGAGGCAGAAGCCCUUUUAAAAAUUGCUCUGGAAUAAGCCAAAGUAUAUAUUAUACCAUCAUUUAUUUUCAUAGGCGUCUUCAAAUAAAGCGCCUUGACUAUUCUAGUACAAGUCCUUUAGAAAAUGUAAGCCCUCAUAGCUGUUGGUUAUACACUCAGGGUGGAGUUGCUGGGUUGUGGGGUAAACACGUACCUGGCUUACUACAUCCUGCCAGUGAUUUUCCAAAGUGAUUGUACCAAAUUAUAUUCUCAGUAUAAUGUAUGGAGUUCUAGUUCUCCAUUUUUUUCUCCAGUACAACUUAUUUUAAGUCUUUUAAAUUUUAUCCGUUUUUAAGAGUUACAUGACAUUAUCUUAUUGUUCUGUUUUGUUGUUCCCUCUUGACUGGUUAUCUGCAUAGCUUUCAUGUAAAUUUAACUGUGGUUUGGUGAUAUUAAAUUCAUUUUGGGUUGAUACUUUAUUAUCCCAUAAAUUUGCUAUUCCACCUAACUUUUUGUCAUCUACUCAUACUCUUAGUAUAUCUUUUUAUUAGGACAUCAGUUAUCCUUCAAGUCUCCAUAAUAUGAUGAAGACAGAAUACUGCAUCGAGCCCCAAUGUAAGUUGACAUUAAUGAAUUUAUUUACAUCCUUGACAAGGCUGUUCAACCAAUUAUGAAAAUAAACUGUGUGAUUAUCAGCCCACAUUUUACCAUGCUUUCAAUGAAGUUAUCUAGGAUGAUUGAAAUUCAGAUUCUUCUAUGUCUACAGUAUUGUGGUCCAUCAAUUUAGUUGGUACCCCUAUAAAAAAAUGAAGUAAUUUAAAUUCUUUGUGAAUCCAGAAUGGCUCCCAUUGGUCAUUUAUUCCCUCUCUGAGUCAUAAAUCAUCCUUUCAAGAACCUUUCCUCACAUUUUUCCUGAUGACAUCUGUUCCGCUUUAUAAAUGUUGGACAGAAAGUCUUUGUAACUUUUUAUUUAAAAAUAUGGUUUAGACUGAGUUCCUUGUUUCAUUUGAUAGUUAUGUAUAAAUUGUUUUUAUAAAUUGAAUCUUUAAUAUUUUAGGACAUCUUACUAGUUGAUGCUGGUGUUUUUAUUUUGUUAGAAAAGUAAUAUUUUACCAUAUUUCCUACUAGACUAUGCAUAUAUUUAUACUCAUGCACAUUUAACAUAAUUGAUAUUUUAGUGCAUAUACAACUAACUUUUUAAAAAAUUGACAUGAACAUUUUCUCAUGGUUUUAAUAGUUUUGGGAAUAAUUAUUUUACUAGAAAUAUAUUUCUUUAAUUAAUUUCUUUAAUUAAUUCUUCAUUUAUUAUAUUACUGGGAAUUUCCAAUGUUUCAUGACUAUAAAUAAUGGUGAGGUAAAUGUUAAGACUGCUUCUUAUUCUCUAAUUUUAUGCAUUUUCCUUUAUUGACUCCAUUGAGUUUUUGUAGGAAGAGAGAGACAGGUACCAUGUUAAUUAUUGCAUUUCAUCAUUUGGGUGAGCACCUCACAUUCACUGAGCCAUUUAUAUCAAAGGAAUAAUGAAGAGACCAAUCCUAAUGAGCAAGCAUCUCAUUAAUACCAUCUGCUUAGCAAAACAUUAGUGAGCACACACUUUUGACCUGUGAAAAGUGCUUUUAAUUAUAGUUAUUUUCUUUGUCUCUUUGUUCUUUUGAUUCUACCAGCCUGUUUGAUCCUUUGAACAUAGUAUCCAUGCUUUACAGUAGCAAAUAAGUUCUCUGACUGAUUCAUACAUUAUAGUAGAAAAUGAUAAAAACCCAAAUAUUCCUACAUGCUUUGUACGUUGUACUGAAUGUAGGAUAAAUUUUGUAGGGGUUGAAAGUUUCUAUAGCAUAUUUUAUUGGUAGACAAAUCACAAAAAUUUUGAGUAACAAACAAUUGAUCAAGGAUUACAAACAACAAAAUCACAAAUUGAUCAACCUAAAUAGUAAUCAAAGAAAUAAGAUAGCCUUUUACAAAGCUAUAAAAUUUAUAAGUAUCUACUCAAUGUGAUACCCGAUUUUGUGGAUGAUAUAGAGAAAUAAACUUUCAUUCAUGAAAAGUUUAUUGACUAGUGAAAAUGUAAAUUGAUUCCAUUUGGUCAAUUUGGAAAUAAAUAUUACUACCUUAAAAAUCUGCCUUCUCUUUGAGCCAGUAUGUUUCUUGAAGAAAUAAUUAUUAUGGUAGAACUCUGGCAAAGAUUAAUUACAGACAUGUUAGUACCUGCUAAUUCUAAUGCUUGUGCUUCCUGGAGAGAGGAAGACACAGCUGAAGUCCUCUGGAUGCAUAAAACAUGGCAGCAUCUUCGUCACAUCUGUGUGCCACGAAUUAGCCAAAUAUAAAAAUCCUGCACCAUGGCUGGGAAAAAAUGUGCCUUUUGGAAAUGUGUUUCAGAAACUGGUUUAGUCAGUGAAAUCUGAAAAAGGCCCUUACCUUAUGGAAAAACUUGGACUUGAGGCACAAUUGGAUUUGGGGAUUCCAGCGCCAUAGCUUUUUCUCUACAACUUCCAGCUGUCAUCCUCUUUUGUGACUUUGUUCACAGGCAAGUCCUCAUGUUGACCUCAGCAGCACAUCUACUAAUCAGGGGAGUCCUCUCCAAGUAUCGAGAAACAUGGCUCCCAGGACUCCAAGUUUGUGUGGCAUUAGUUCCUGAAUCAGUGAAGAUUCACUGUUAUAAUUAACAAAAUCUUAUUCUCACUCAAUUAGGCAGAACAGAAAAGUAUUAAAAGAUUAUAGGCAACACAUAAUUUCUAAAAUUACUGUAGAGCCAGACAGAAAUGACAUCCAAAUCUCUGAACCCAAAUGCCACAGUUCCGAGGUCAUCACACUGGACACUGAGCUGCCAUUGGGAACGUGUCUACUUGUGCCUCUGGAAAUGGCUGUCAUGCUCGUAUCACCAGCACCCUUGAUAGAAUGGACUUUGGGGCCCUGCUUCCUUGCAUUGCUUGCCUCCAGUUAGAUCCGUAGUCUUCAAUUAAAAAAGAGAGAAAGAAGGAAGAAUGGAGGGAAAGAGAGACAAAGGAAAGAAGAACUCAUUCAGCCAGGUAUGCUGGUGCUUGCCUACAGUCUUGGUUAAUCCAGAGGCUGAAGCAGGGUCAUCAUUUGAGUUCAAGAAUUUGAGGCAAACUGGGCAGCACUGUGAGACAUCUCAAAGUAACAAAACAAUUCAUUUUACCACACUUAUUAGCAACAAUAUUUAUCUUAAAUUUAAAAGAAAUGGUUAGAAUGAUAAACUUCAUGUAAUGUAUAUUUUACCACAAUAAAAAUAUAAGAAAAUUAUAAGAGUCUCUUCUCCCAAACACAAAGCAAAGCAAAACAAAACCAGUCUGUAGUGGACAUGUCUGAUUGGCAGAGUCAGGGUCAUGUGACUGCAAAGGAGGCAGAAAAAGCAAGCAUCUUGUAAUUUUCCAUUUCAGAAAAUAUGGUUUCUUGGAGCACCAGAAUUUCAUAGUACUCGGAUCAGGCAAGAAAUGGUAGAGUAACCUGGAAGGGAAGGUGACCUCAUUCUUUAAGGUAAGGAAAUUCAGAUCCAAGGUGACUGAAAAGAACAGCAAAUGUCUAGGGAAAACAAUUAGGAUCUCAGCUGAUUUUUCAACCCAGCCCCUUAAGGCUAGGAGGUCCUGGAAUAAUACAUACCAAGCUCUGAAAGAAAAUGGAUGCCAGUCAAGAAUACUAUACCCUGCAAAACUAACUUCAGAUUUGAUGAUAAAAUAAGAAACUUCCAUUAUAAACAAAAGUUACAAGAAUUCACAACGAAAAAGACAAAUUUAAAAGAAUUCACAACCAAAAAGCCUGCAUUAUCAAACCUUUUCAACAAAAUAGUUCAUGAAGAAAUAAAAAAAAGACGAAAUUCAGCAAAAGGAGGAACUACACUAGAAGUAUAGUUAAUCAAAAAAGAAGCUAUUACAAAUGAAAAACCAGAAAUAAUUCAAAAUGAUAGGGAAUAAAUCAUUUCUCAAUAAUAACAUUGAAUGUAAAUGACCUAAACUCAAUCAAAAGACAGACUGGGAGGCUGGAUUAAAAAAUAAGACCCUGGGCAGCAGCCCAGGCCUGGCCAUUGCCUGUGCACAACUCCAGUGCCGCCCAGGCCUAGCUGCAGUCUGCACCACGCUGUUGUUCCCCAUCUACCAACAUGUGGUUUCGUCUCUGCCUGCUGUUAUGGAGUAGUCCCCACCCGGACGCCACCAUCCUAAGUCCGGGCAGCUCCCUUCCUGGGACACAGCAUUAUCAAGUACCUCUCAUGCAUCAGGCUACUGAAGACUAGGAGGUUU